rnacentral:rRNA from 1 species
UAGGGAAUCUUCGGCAAUGGGGGCAACCCUGACCGAGCAACGCCGCGUGAGUGAAGAAGGUUUUCGGAUCGUAAAGCUCUGUUGUAAGUCAAGAACGGGUGUGAGAGUGGAAAGUUCACACUGUGACGGUAGCUUACCAGAAAGGGACGGCUAACUACGUGCCAGCAGCCGCGGUAAUACGUAGGUCCCGAGCGUUGUCCGGAUUUAUUGGGCGUAAAGCGANCGCAGGCGGUUUGAUAAGU